GGGCAAGUCCUGUACGACCAGCUCCUGCCGAACUCCCCCAGGCCGGGAACGGAGCAAGGGUAGGCAGUUGAAGCGGUGCGAUACAGGUAGCUUGCCCUUU
rnacentral:SRP_RNA from 1 species